rnacentral:SRP_RNA from 10 species
GCCAGGCAUGGUGGCGCAUGCCUGUAUUCCCAGCUACUCGGGAGGCUGAGGCAGGGGAAUCUCUUGAGCACGCCAGGCAGAGGCUGCAGUGAGCCAAGAUUGCACCACCGCACUCCAGCCUGGGGGACCAGAGUGAGACCUUGUCUCAAAAAGAAAAGAGACGGAGACUCUCUCUUGUCCCCCAGGCUGGAGUGCAGUAGUGCAAUCCUGGCUCACUGCAGCCUCUGCCUGGUGGGCUCAAGCAAUUCCCCUGCCU